rnacentral:rRNA from 1 species
CAGUUGUUCCGCCAGGAGCACCGCUGGGUAGCUAUGUACGGAAGGGAUAAGCGCUGAAAGCAUCUAAGCGUGAAGCCCCCCUCAAGAUGAGAUUUCCCAGUAUGUAAGACCCCUUGAAGACGACGAGGUAGAUAGGUUGGGGGUGGAAGUGCAGUAAUGCAUGGAGCUGACCAAUACUAAUCGGUCGAGGGCUUAUCCUAAA